rnacentral:rRNA from 2 species
UAGAGAACCUAACCCAAGGAGCGGAUGAGUGGAGCUUGCUCCAUGAUUCAGCGGCGGACGGGUGAGUAAUGCCUAGGAAUCUGCCUGGUAGUGGGGGACAACUUUCGAAAGGAACGCUAAUACCGCAACGUCCUACGGGAGAAAGUGGGGGAUCUUCGGACCUCACGCUAUCGAUGACCUAGGUCGGAUUAGCUAGUUGGUGAGGUAAAGGCUCACCAAGGCGACAUCCGUACUGGUCUGAGAGGAUGAUCAGUCACACUGGAACUGAGACACGGUCCAGACUCCUACGGGAGGCAGCAGUGGGGAAUAUUGGACAAUGGGCGAAAGCCUGAUCCAGCCAUGCCGCGUGUGUGAAGAAGGUCUUCGGAUUGUAAAGCACUUUAAGUUGGGAGGAAGGGCAGUAAGUUAAUACCUUGCUGUUUUGACGUUACCAACAGAAUAAGCCCGGCUAACUUCGUGCCAGCAGCCGCGGUAAUACGAAGGGUGCAAGCGUUAAUCGGAAUUACUGGGCGUAAAGCGCGCGUAGGUGGUUCGUUAAGUUGGAUGUGAAAGCCCCGGCUCAACCUGGGAACUGCAUCCAAAACUGGCGACUAAAGUAUGGCAAGGGUGGUGGAAUUUCCUGUGUAGCGGUGAAAUGCGUAGAUAUAGAAGGAACACCAUGCGAAGCGACCACCUGGGCUAAUAAUCCGAUAA